GGCUUGGUGGUCUAGUGGUAUGAUUCUCGCUUAGGGUGCGAGAGGUCCCGGGUUCGAUCCCCGGCCAAGCCC
rnacentral:tRNA from 3 species